CCUACGGGAGGCAGCAGUGAGGAAUAUUGGUCAAUGGGCUUACGCCUGAACCAGCCAAGUCGCGUGAGGGAAGACUGCCCUAUGGGUUGUAAACCUCUUUUGUCAGGGAGCAACGCCGGCUACGUGUAGCCGGACUGAGAGUACCUGAAGAAAAAGCCUCGGCUAACUCCGUACCAGCAGCCGCGGUAAUACGGAGGGUGCGAGCGUUAUCCGGAUUUAUUGGGUUUAAGGGGGGCGUAGGCGGAUUGCCAAGUCAGCGGUAAAAUCGCGGGGCUCAACCUCGACCCGCCGUUGAAACUGGCGGUCUUGAGUGGGCGAGAAGUAUGCGGAAUGCGUGGUGUAGCGGUGAAAUGCAUAGAUAUCACGCAGAACUCCGAUUGCGAAGGCAGCAUACCGGCGCCCAACUGACGCUGAAGCACGAAAGCGUGGGUAUCGAACAGGAUUAGAUACCCCUGUAGUC
rnacentral:rRNA from 1 species